rnacentral:rRNA from 1 species
GACGAACGCUGGCGGCGUGCUUAACACAUGCAAGUCGAACGGAGUGGCGCACGGGUGAGUAACACGUGGGUGAUCUGCCCUGCACUUCGGGAUAAGCUUGGGAAACUGGGUCUAAUACCGGAUAGUGCAAGAUGGGCGCGGGGCCUAUCAGCUUGUUGGUGGGGUAAUGGCCUACCAAGGCGCCGACUGGUAGCCGGCCUGGGAGGGUGUACGGCCACAAUGGGACUGAGGUACGGACCAGACUCCUACGGGAGGCAGCAGUGGGGAAUAUUGCACAAUGGGCGGAAGCCUGAUGAAGCGACGCUGCGUGGGUGAUGAAGGCCUUCGGGUUGUAAACUCCUUUCGACAGGGACGCGGUACCUGUAUAAGAAGCACCGGCUAACUACGUGCCAGCAGCCGCGGUAAUAC